UGCAGUCGAACGAUGAAGCCUAGCUUGCUGGGUGGAUUAGUGGCGAACGGGUGAGUAACACGUGAGUAACCUGCCCUUGACUCUGGGAUAAGCGCUGGAAACGGCGUCUAAUACCGGAUAUGACCUGCCCCGGCAUCGGGUGUGGGUGGAAAGUUUUUCGGUCAAGGAUGGACUCGCGGCCUAUCAGCUUGUUGGUGAGGUAAUGGCUCACCAAGGCGACGACGGGUAGCCGGCCUGAGAGGGUGACCGGCCACACUGGGACUGAGACACGGCCCAGACUCCUACGGGAGGCAGCAGUGGGGAAUAUUGCACAAUGGGCGAAAGCCUGAUGCAGCAACGCCGCGUGGGGGAUGACGGCCUUCGGGUUGUAAACCUCUUUUAGUAGGGAAGAAGGGCUUCGGCUUGACGGUACCUGCAGAAAAAGCACCGGCUAACUACGUGCCAGCAGCCGCGGUAAUACGUAGGGUGCAAGCGUUGUCCGGAAUUAUUGGGCGUAAAGAGCUCGUAGGCGGUUUGUCGCGUCUGCUGUGAAAACCCGAGGCUCAACCUCGGGCCUGCAGUGGGUACGGGCAGACUAGAGUGCGGUAGGGGAGAAUGGAAUUCCUGGUGUAGCGGUGGAAUGCGCAGAUAUCAGGAGGAACACCGAUGGCGAAGGCAGUUCUCUGGGCCGUUACUGACGCUGAGGAGCGAAAGCGUGGGGAGCGAACAGGAUUAGAUACCCUGGUAGUCCACGCCGUAAACGUUGGGAACUAGAUGUGGGGGCCUUUCCACGGUCUCCGUGUCGCAGCUAACGCAUUAAGUUCCCCGCCUGGGGAGUACGGCCGCAAGGCUAAAACUCAAAGGAAUUGACGGGGGCCCGCACAAGCGGCGGAGCAUGCGGAUUAAUUCGAUGCAACGCGAAGAACCUUACCAAGGCUUGACAUAUACCGGAAACUUCCAGAGAUGGUUGCCCCGCAAGGUCGGUAUACAGGUGGUGCAUGGUUGUCGUCAGCUCGUGUCGUGAGAUGUUGGGUUAAGUCCCGCAACGAGCGCAACCCUCGUUCUAUGUUGCCAGCACGUUAUGGUGGGAACUCAUAGGAGACUGCCGGGGUCAACUCGGAGGAAGGUGGGGAUGACGUCAAAUCAUCAUGCCCCUUAUGUCUUGGGCUUCACGCAUGCUACAAUGGCCGGUACAAAGGGCUGCGAUACCGUAAGGUGGAGCGAAUCCCAAAAAGCCGGUCUCAGUUCGGAUUGAGGUCUGCAACUCGACCUCAUGAAGUCGGAGUCGCUAGUAAUCGCAGAUCAGCAACGCUGCGGUGAAUACGUUCCCGGGCCUUGUACACACCGCCCGUCAAGUCAUGAAAGUCGGUAACACCCGAAGCCAGUGGCCUAACCGUAAG
rnacentral:rRNA from 1 species